UACGAGGGGUGCAAGCGUUGCUCGGAAUUAUUGGGCGUAAAGGGCUCGUAGGCGGUCUGUCGCGUCGGUAGUGAAAACUCAGGGCUUAACCCUGAGCCUGCUUCCGAUACGGGCAGACUAGAGGUAUGCAGGGGAGAAUGGAAUUCCUGGUGUAGCGGUGAAAUGCGCAGAUAUCAGGAGGAACACCGGUGGCGAAGGCGGUUCUCUGGGCAUUACCUGACGCUGAGGAGCGAAAGUGUGGGGAGCGAACAGG
rnacentral:rRNA from 1 species